CUUUGCCGGUUGCCAUAAACCCGUAGAUCCGAACUUGCGGUACGACUGCCUCACACAAGCUCGAGUCUGUGGGUAUGUGUCGACCUUGGC
ensembl:miRNA